AUAUCAAUAAGCGGAGGAAAAGAAACCAACAGGGAUUGCCUUAGUAACUGCGAGUGAAGCGGCAAAAGCUCAAAUUUGAAAUCGGUGUCUAUCAAUCGCAUCGAGUUGUAAUUUGGAGGGACAACUUCGGGCUGAACCACAUCUAAGUUCCUUGGAACAGGACGUCAUAGAGGGUGAGAAUCCCGUGUCUUGAUGUCGGGUCAAACCAUGUGAAGUGUCUCCGACGAGUCGAGUUGUUUGGGAAUGCAGCUCAAAAUGGGUGGUAAAUUUCAUCUAAAGCUAAAUAUUGGCGAGAGACCGAUAGCGCACAAGUAGAGUGAUCGAAAGAUGAAAAGCACUUUGAAAAGAGAGUCAAAAAGUACGUGAAAUUGUUGAAAGGGAAGCGCUUGCGACCAGACUCGAUCUUUGGUGAUCAGCCGGGCUCCGGUCCGGUGCCCUCACCAUUGAUUGGGCCAGCAUCGGUUCCGACGGCGGGAUAAAAGGAGGAGGAAUGUGACUCCCUUUGGGGAGUGUUAUAGCCACCUUCACAAUGCUGCCAGUUGGGACCGAGGACCGCGCUUCGGCUAGGAUGCUGGUGUAACGGUCUUAAGCGA
rnacentral:rRNA from 1 species